rnacentral:rRNA from 1 species
GAUGAACGCUGGCGGCGUGCCUAAUACAUGCAAGUAGAACGCUGAAGCUUGGUGCUUGCACCGAGCGGAUGAGUUGCGAACGGGUGAGUAACGCGUAGGUAACCUACCUCUUAGCGGGGGAUAACUAUUGGAAACGAUAGCCAAUACCGCAUAAAAGUCGACAUUGCAUGAUGUUGACUUGAAAGGUGCAACUGCAUCACUAAGAGAUGGACCUGCGUUGUAUUAGCUAGUUGGUGAGGUAACGGCUCACCAAGGCGACGAUACAUAGCCGACCUGAGAGGGUGAUCGGCCACACUGGGACUGAGACACGGCCCAGACUCCUACGGGAGGCAGCAGUAGGGAAUCUUCGGCAAUGGACGGAAGUCUGACCGAGCAACGCCGCGUGAGUGAAGAAGGUUUUCGGAUCGUAAAGCUCUGUUGUAAGAGAAGAACGAGUGUGAGAGUGGAAAGUUCACACUGUGACGGUAACUUACCAGAAAGGG